AGGUUAAGUGAAUAAGGGCGCACGGUGGAUGCCUUGGCACUAGGAGCCGAUGAAGGACGGGACUAACACCGAUAUGCUUCGGGGAGCUGUAAGUAAGCUUUGAUCCGGAGAUUUCCGAAUGGGGGAACCCAGCAUCUUUUAUAGGAUGUUACUUUUCAGUGAAUACAUAGCUGAUUAGAGGUAGACGCAGAGAACUGAAACAUCUAAGUACCUGCAGGAAGAGAAAGAAAAAUCGAUUCCCUGAGUAGCGGCGAGCGAAACGGGAAAAGCCCAAACCAAGAGGCUUGCCUCUUGGGGUUGUAGGACUCCGAUAYGGUAGUCCAGUGAGAUAGUCGAAGGACCUGGAAAGGUCUGCUAGAAAGGGUAAAAGCCCCGUAGACAAAAUUUGACUGGCACCUAGGAGGAUCCUGAGUACGGCGGAACACGAGGAAUUCCGUCGGAAUCCGGGAGGACCAUCUCCCAAGGCUAAAUACUCCCUAGUGACCGAUAGUGAACCAGUACCGUGAGGGAAAGGUGAAAAGCACCCCGGAAGGGGAGUGAAAUAGAUCCUGAAACCGUGUGCCUACAACAAGUUAGAGCCCGUUAAUGGGUGAUAGCGUGCCUUUUGUAGAAUGAACCGGCGAGUUACGAUUACUUGCGAGGUUAAGUUGAAAAGACGGAGCCGCAGCGAAAGCGAGUCUGAAUAGGGCGAAUGAGUAAGUGGUCGUAGACCCGAAACCAUGUGAUCUACCCAUGUCCAGGUUGAAGGUGCGGUAAAACGCACUGGAGGACCGAACCCACGUACGUUGAAAAGUGCGGGGAUGAGGUGUGGGUAGCGGAGAAAUUCCAAACGAACUUGGAGAUAGCUGGUUCUCUCCGAAAUAGCUUUAGGGCUAGCCUCAGAGUAAGAAUGAUGGAGGUAGAGCACUGUUUGGACUAGGGGCCCAUCUCGGGUUACCGAAUUCAGAUAAACUCCGAAUGCCAUCCAUUCAUCUCUGGGAGUCAGACUGUGAGUGAUAAGAUCCAUAGUCGAAAGGGAAACAGCCCAGACCACCAGCUAAGGUCCCCAAAUAACUAUUAAGUGGAAAAGGAUGUGGGGUUGCACAGACAACUAGGAUGUUGGCUUAGAAGCAGCCACCAUUUAAAGAGUGCGUAAUAGCUCACUAGUCGAGUGACCCUGCGCCGAAAAUGUACCGGGGCUAAAUAGUUUACCGAAGCUGUGGAACACACCAAUAGGUGUGUUGGUAGGAGAGCGUUCUAAGGGCGUUGAAGGUAGAUCGUGAGGACUGCUGGAGCGCUUAGAAGUGAGAAUGCCGGUAUGAGUAGCGAAAGACAGGUGAGAAUCCUGUCCACCGAAUGACUAAGGUUUCCUGGGGAAGGCUCGUCCGCCCAGGGUUAGUCGGGACCUAAGCCGAGGCCGAUAGGCGUAGGCGAUGGAUAACAGGUUGAUAUUCCUGUACCCGUUGUUUUUGUUUGAGCAAUGGAGGGACGCAGGAGGCUAAGGAAUCAGACGAUUGGAAAUGUCUGUCCAAGCAAUAAGUCUUGAUGUGAGUCAAAUGCUUACGUCUUUAAGGACAAGUUGUGAUGGGGAGGGAAAUAAUAGUACCGAAGUUCCUGAUGUCACACUGCCGAGAAAAGCUUCUAGUGAGAAAACAAUGGCCCGUACCGCAAACCGACACAGGUAGUCGAGGAGAGAAUCCUAAGGUGAGCGAGAGAACUCUCGUUAAGGAACUCGGCAAAAUGACCCCGUAACUUCGGGAGAAGGGGUGCUGAUCUAACGAUCAGCCGCAGUGAAUAGGCCCAAGCGACUGUUUAUCAAAAACACAGGUCUCUGCAAAAUCGAAAGAUGACGUAUAGGGGCUGACGCCUGCCCGGUGCUGGAAGGUUAAGAGGAGUGCUUAGCGYAAGCGAAGGUACGAAUUGAAGCCCCAGUAAACGGCGGCCGUAACUAUAACGGUCCUAAGGUAGCGAAAUUCCUUGUCGGGUAAGUUCCGACCCGCACGAAAGGCGUAACGAUUUGGGCACUGUCUCAACGAGAGACUCGGUGAAAUUUUAGUACCUGUGAAGAUGCAGGUUACCCGCGACAGGACGGAAAGACCCCAUGGAGCUUUACUGCAGUUUGAUAUUGAGUGUUUGUACCACAUGUACAGGAUAGGUAGGAGCCGUAGAAGUCGGGACGCUAGUUUCGACAGAGGCGCUGGUGGGAUACUACCCUUGUGUUAUGACCACUCUAACCCGCACCACUGAUCGUGGUGGGAGACAGUGUCAGAUGGGCAGUUUGACUGGGGCGGUCGCCUCCUAAAGAGUAACGGAGGCGCCCAAAGGUUCCCUCAGAAUGGUUGGAAAUCAUUCGCAGAGUGUAAAGGCACAAGGGAGCUUGACUGCGAGACCUACAAGUCGAGCAGGGACGAAAGUCGGGCUUAGUGAUCCGGUGGUUCCGMAUGGAAGGGCCAUCGCUCAACGGAUAAAAGCUACCCUGGGGAUAACAGGCUUAUCUCCCCCAAGAGUCCACAUCGACGGGGAG
rnacentral:rRNA from 1 species